UAUUUAUGAGCUAGGCUUUAUGCUAGGGAUAAACAGACAAGGUCUCUGCCCUUAGGGAGUUUUCUCAGUCCCCCUGGGAAUGCUUAUGCAAAAAGGGGAGUGGGUAGUUGCCCAGUGAAGGAAAGAUCUGUGUUGCCACAGCAGUUACUGGUUGGACUAGAAAGUAAAGUUCUAGAAAGGCUUCCCAUGGGCCUUGCCACCAUGGCCCCUCUUCCACUGGGUCCCUGCAGCACUUGGCCCAGGCCUCUGGUAUGGUCCUUAUCGAGUUGUAUUAUCUGUGUCCCUCCCUAGCCCUUCUUUGAGGGCAGGGACCCAGACUCUUUUCUUUUUAGAGACAGCGUCUUGUUCUGUUGCCCAGCCUGGAAUGCAGUGGCAUGUUCACAGCUCACUGUGGCCUUGACCUCCUGGGCUCAAGUGAUCCUCCCACCUCAGCCUCCCAGUGGGAUUACAGGCGUGAGCCACUGUGCCCAGCCCAGACUCUUUCUUUACAGCUACCCAGACUAAAGGUUCAAUGAAGGGUUGCUGAAGGAAUAAUCAAGUGGAUAUACAGAUGCUCAAAGAAUUCUUCCUUUCAACUCUAACCCAAAAGGAAACUCAUGAUAUUUAUUGAACAUAUGCGGGAGAAAGGAAAGAUUACUUUAGCUUUUACCUUAUUCCACUGGAAACUCUAAGGUAAAUGAGAGAGAAGCUUAGAGGACGGGAAACCUAAGUAAAGCAUGUAGACAGAUGUUUUCUACAACCAGUGUUGGGGGGGCAAGGAAGGUCCUCAAAUGGUUCCAUUCAGUCCAACUUAAGUACAAGUGGUGGGAAGAAUGGGGUGAUUAGCAGUUACUCAUGGAGUAGCAAAGCGGCAGAUUUCUCCACAUGGGCUAUGUUGGAGAGGAUGCUGAGCAAAGUCUUGGGAGCACAAACAGGAAUCCCUUCAGGGGGCUGGUCAGAGGGCGGUGUGCUCUCUGUUGCCCAAAGGAAGUUCUCACAAGUAGAGCCUGGAUGCAAGCAAUGUAUGAGCCCACGAAGUCAGAGGCUGCACAGUCAGUGAGCAUGGACUGCAAAACUUUCAGCGGGGUCCCUUUAGGACCAGCCUCUUCAUCUCCAGGCCCCACUAAUCUCUCUUAUUCCUUGUUCUUUGCUCUAGGGAAUCUCUUUCCUUUCCUUUCAAGUGAGAGAUGGAGGUGGGAAAAUAUGGCUUUCUUUUAUGGUGUUUUCUCCCAAAUACUUUGCCCUUACUGAGAAUCUUCUUUUUUUUUCUUUUUUUUUUUCUUACCCUUGAUGGCCUAGGAUUAUGAAACUCAAGAGCCAGAGAGAUAGAUACACAUAUUUUUUUCAAAUCAGAUAUAAUUUACAAACAGUAAAAUUCACCUUUGAAAAAAAGGUGGGUGCCGUGGGUCACACCUGUAAUUCCAGCACUUUGGGAGGCCAAGGUGAAAGGAUUGCUGGGGCCGGGAGUUUGAGACCAGCUUGGGCAACGUAACAAGACCCUGUCUCUACAAAAAUAAUUUUAAAAAUCAGCUGGGUGUGGUAGCUCACACGUGUAGUCCUAGCUACUGGGGAGGCUGAGGCUGGAGGAUCACUUGAGUCCAGGAGUUCCAGGCUGUGUACCACUGCACUCCAGCCUGGGUGAUGGAGUGAGACCCAGUCUCUAAAUAAAUACAUAAUUAUAAAGGUGUACAGUUUUACAAGUUCUGACAAAUGUACACAGUCAUGUAUACCUGUCAUGCACCACAGUCAAGAUACAGAAUAUUUUCAUCACCUCAAAAAAUUCCACAUGUCCCCUUUGUAAUCACCUCUCUCCUCCAGCCCCAGCCCCUGACAAUCCUGUUUUCUGUUCCUAUAGUUUGCCUUUUUCAGAAUGCCAUACAAAGCGUUUUGAGUCUGGCUUCUUUCACUUAGCAUAAUGCUUUAGAGAUUCAACCAUAAUGUCGUGGUUCAUUAUGGUCGUGGAUCAAUAGGUUGUUCCUUUCAUUGCUGAAUAGUAUUCCAUUGUACGGAUAUGCCAUCAUAUGUUCACCAGUUGAGGGACAUUUGUUUUGUUUCCAGUUUCU
rnacentral:lncRNA from 1 species